rnacentral:rRNA from 1 species
AAUCAACGCUGGCGGCGUGCCUCAGACAUGCAAGUCGAACGCGAAAGUCCCCUUCGGGGGACAAGUAGAGUGGCGCACGGGUGAGUAACACGUAGGUAAUCUACCUUCGGGUGGGGAAUAACGCAGGGAAACUUGCGCUAAUACCGCAUAAUGCAGCGGCACCACAUGGUGACAGUUGUUAAAGCGGGGGAUUUUCGGACCUCGCGCCUGAAGAGGAGCCUGCGGCAGAUUAGCUAGUUGGUAAGGUAACGGCUUACCAAGGCGACGAUCUGUAGCCGGCCUGAGAGGGCGGUCGGCCACACUGACACUGACAUACGGGUCAGACUCCUACGGGAGGCAGCAGUCGGGAAUUUUGGGCAAUGGGCGAAAGCCUGACCCAGCAACGCCGCGUGAAGGAUGAAAUCCCUCGGGAUGUAAACUUCGCAAGAAUAGGAAGAAUGAACGAGCGCUAACACCGUUCGUGAUGACGGUACUAUUUGUAAGCUCCGGCUAACUCCGUGCCAGCA